GACUUGGAUUAGCGAUUCUUCCGAUAGAAGGAAGAAACCGAGACGUGAGGGAUCAGGUUGUGCCAAGGAGGAGGUGACCGAAACGGAGGAGAUCGCGACAGAGACGUAACCUGUGUGUGUGAAUCCGAACUUCUCAAAGAGGAUCAUAGGUCGGUUGUCGGAUCGGAUCUUCAGAGAUUUGAUCUCCGCCGUAGUUGGUGCAGUGGAUAUGAAGACGAGGAGUAAGACAGCUAUGAGAAUUUUUCCUAAAAUCCUCAUUUUGGAUUCACCGGUGGUGGGUAACGGCGGAGGAAGGCGGUGGUCCAAAAAAAGGAGAGUAACAAGAAAUGAUGUGGGGCGACUGCUUAGGCUGAAAUACAGAGAGUAAUGAG
rnacentral:lncRNA from 1 species